rnacentral:lncRNA from 1 species
AACCAGUGCAGAAUGGAUGUUGGAGGAGAGGGAGGUCACCUCUGGGCUUCUGGGAAAACCAGCAGACAUAUAUGGUCCUUAACCUCGUAACUU